rnacentral:tRNA from 4 species
GCCGAAGUGGCGGAAUAGGCAGACGCGCCAGACUCAAAAUCUGGUGAUGGCAACAUCGUGCCGGUUCGACCCCGGCCUUCGGCA